AGAGUGGUGGAGCCAUGCAAAAUUUAUUAUAAAGAGUGGAGUAGGGUAGUGGCCAUUGUCGUGACUUGCCAGAGAGUUCGGACCUGACGGCUGAAGCUUGGCUGGGAUGUCUGAAGGAGCAGAAUGGCUCUUUGUCUCUGCAAUCUAAGAGAGGCUCAGAUAUUUCUGAGGUUGCUGACGAGUCCACUGUUGUCGGGUGC
rnacentral:lncRNA from 1 species